CGGCAGACGGGUGAGUAACGCGUGGGAACGUACCUUUUGGUUCGGAACAACCCAGGGAAACUUGGGCUAAUACCGGAUAAGCCCUUACGGGGAAAGAUUUAUCGCCGAAAGAUCGGCCCGCGUCUGAUUAGCUAGUUGGUGAGGUAAUGGCUCACCAAGGCGACGAUCAGUAGCUGGUCUGAGAGGAUGAUCAGCCACAUUGGGACUGAGACACGGCCCAAACUCCUACGGGAGGCAGCAGUGGG
rnacentral:rRNA from 1 species